GAGUUUGAUCCUGGCUCAGGAUGAACGCUGGCGGCGUGCUUAACACAUGCAAGUCGAGCGAAGCAUAGAUGUGGAAGUUUUCGGAUGGAAGCGUGUAUGACUGAGCGGCGGACGGGUGAGUAACGCGUGGGUAACCUGCCUCAUACAGGGGGAUGACAGUUAGAAAUGACUGCUAAUACCGCAUAAGCGCACAGGACCGCAUGGUCUGGUGUGAAAAACUCCGGUGGUAUGAGAUGGACCCGCGUCUGAUUAGCUGGUUGGUGAGGUAACGGCCCACCAAGGCGACGAUCAGUAGCCGACCUGAGAGGGUGGCCGGCCACAUUGGGACUGAGACACGGCCCAAACUCCUACGGGAGGCAGCAGUGGGGAAUAUUGCACAAUGGGGGAAACCCUGAUGCAGCAACGCCGCGUGAGUGAAGAAGUAUUUCGGUAUGUAAAGCUCUAUCAGCAGGGAAGAGAAUGACGGUACCUGACUAAGAAGCCCCGGCUAACUACGUGCCAGCAGCCGCGGUAAUACGUAGGGGGCAAGCGUUAUCCGGAUUUACUGGGUGUAAGGGAGCGUAGACGGCUGUACAAGUCUGAAGUGAAAGCCCGUGCUCAACCGCGGGAACUGCUUUGGAAACUGUAAGCUGGAGUACUGGAGAGGCAGGCGGAAUUCCCAGUGUAGCGGUGAAAUGCGUAGAUAUUAGGAGGAACACCAAGGUGGCGAAGGCGGCCUGCUGGACAGACUCCUGCGGUUGAGGCUCGAAAGCGUUGGGAGCAAACAGGAUUAGAUACCCUGGUAGUCCACGCGGUAAACGAUGAAUACUAGGUGUUGGUGCAAACCCAUCGGUGCCGUCGCAAACGCAGUAAGUAUUCCACCUGAGGAGUACGUUCGCAAGAAUGAAACUCAAAGGAAUUGACGGGGACCGCACAAGCGGUGGAGCAUGUGGUUUAAUUCGAAGCAACGCGAAGAACCUUACCAAGUCUUGACAUCCCAAUGAAUGUCUGGUAAAGCAGAACAGGCUUCGGGCCAUUGGAGACAGGUGGUGCAUGGUUGUCGUCAGCUCGUGUCGUGAGAUGUUGGGUUAAGUCCCGCAACGAGCGCAACCCUUAUCCUUAGUAGCCAGCGGUCAGGCCGGGCACUCUAGGGAGACUGCCAGGGAGAACCUGGAGGAAGGUGGGGAUGACGUCAAAUCAUCAUGCCCCUUAUGAUUUGGGCUACACACGUGCUACAAUGGCGUAAACAAAGGGAGGCGAAGUGGCGACACGGAGCGAACCCCCAAAAUAACGUCCCAGUUCGGAUUGCAGUCUGCAACUCGACUGCAUGAAGCUGGAAUCGCUAGUAAUCGCGGAUCAGAAUGCCGUGGUGAAUACGUUCCCGGGUCUUGUACACACCGCCCGUCACACCAUGGGAGUCAGUAACGCCCGAAGUCAGUGACCCAACUGAAAAGAGGGAGCUGCCGAAGGGAACGGAUAACUGGGGUGAAGUCGUAACAAGGUAGCCGUAUCGGAAGGUGCGGCUGGAUCACCUCCU
rnacentral:rRNA from 1 species